rnacentral:rRNA from 1 species
AGCGAACGCUGGCGGCAGGCUUAACACGUGCAAGUCGAACGCCCCGCAAGGGGAGUGGCAGACGGGUGAGUAACGCGUGGGAAUCUACCCAGUUCUACGGAAUAACCCAGGGAAACUUGGACUAAUACCGUAUACGCCCUACGGGGGAAAGAUUUAUCGGAAUUGGAUGAGCCCGCGUUGGAUUAGCUAGUUGGUGGGGUAAUGGCCUACCAAGGCGACGAUCCAUAGCUGGUCUGAGAGGAUGAUCAGCCACACUGGGACUGAGACACGGCCUAGACUCCUACGGGAGGCAGCAGUGGGGAAUAUUGGACAAUGGGCGCAAGCCUGAUCCAGCCAUGCCGCGUGAGUGAUGAAGGCCUUAGGGUUGUAAAGCUCUUUCAGUGGGGACGAUAAUGACGGUACCCACAGAAGAAGCCCCGGCUAACUUCGUGCCAGCCGCCGCAGUAAGAC